rnacentral:rRNA from 1 species
GAUGAACGCUGGCGGCGUGCCUAAUACAUGCAAGUCGAGCGAACAGAUGAGAUGCUUGCUUCUCUGAUGUUAGCGGCGGACGGGUGAGUGACACGUGGGUAACCUACCUAUAAGACUGGGAUAACUCCGGGAAACCGGGGCUAAUACCGCAUAAUAUCUUCUUCCGCAUGGAAGAAGAUUGAAAGACGGCUCUGCUGUCACUUAUAGAUGACCUUGCGGUGCAUUAGUUAGUUGGUGGGGUAAUGGCCUACCAAGACAAUGAUGCAUAGCCGACCUGAGAGGGUGAUCGGCCACAUUGGGACUGAGACACGGCCCAAACUCCUACGGGAGGCAGCAGUAGGGAAUCUUCCGCAAUGGGCGAAAGCCUGACGGAGCAAUGCCGCGUGAGUGAAGAAGGCCUUCGGGUCGUAAAACUCUGUUAUAAGAGAAGAACAAAUUGUAGAGUAACUGCUACAGUCUUGACGGUAUCUUAUCAGAAAGCCACGGCUAACUACGCGCCAGCAGCCGCGGUAA